GACGUAGGUGGCGAGCGUUGUCCGGAUUUACUGGGCGUAAAGGGCGUGCAGGCGGUUUGUUAAGUGCAGGGUGAAAGCUCCCGGCUCAACUGGGAGAGGUCCUUGCAUACUGGCGAACUCGAGGGAGGCAGAGGAAAGUGGAAUUCCCGGUGUAGUGGUGAUAUGCGUAGAUAUCGGGAGGAACACCUGUGGCGAAGGCGGCUUUCUGGGCCUUACCUGACGCUGAGACGCGAAAGCGUGGGGAGCGAACCGG
rnacentral:rRNA from 1 species